CAAAGCAAUACCGAGUGUUCAAAUUCAAUUUGUGCUUUUAGAAUUCAUCGUUUGAAUGAACAAAUAGAAAGUUUACUGGAACUAGAAAUUGAUCAACAAAGAAUAAAAAUAUUAUCGGGACCGGCUUUUUUCCACCACAUCAACCACUUUAUCCACCACUUUAAAAGUGGCUUUUUUCAACACAUUUUCGAACAAUUUUUUAUAAGAUUAUCCACCACCCAAAUCCAUCGAAUUUUUGACCACUUUUGGGGUAUGAUGGCGAUUAAUAGUGGAUGUGUUAGAUGGUGUAAAUGGUCUAAAAGACGGUAAGGUAAAAAAAUUGGUGGAUAAAGUGGUGGAAAAAUAUCUGGUCCCAUAUUAUCUGAAAAACUUGAUUCUGUAUCAAAAUAUUCUUGCAAAUAUUGUCCUUGUUUAACUAAUUCUGGCUACAAUCGUGAUCGAUAUCAACAAAAGCGUAAAGACAAAACUCGCGCCACACGCCAUGUAUCCAAUACUACCAACUAUCAUCUUUCAAAGAAUUGAAUCCAAGGAGAUAACUCCAAAGUAAAAAUAGGCUUUACCGCAAUAUCUCAAUGGUGACUGUAUCUUUAUUAUUAUAUUAUUAAUUAUUGUAUUAUUUAAUCAAGGGUCAGUGCUGUUGAUGUGUUUUAUUGCUGAUUCACUGCAUUUUUCUCGCUUUUUUGUUUGUGUGCAAAUAAUUUCUAAUAAAGCUUAUGUUUGUUAAAAUGAAUCACAUCUCUAGAUCUCAGUAUCUGUUUUAACAAGUGAAUUGUUAGGCUUAAGCAUUUGUUGAUUUUAUAAUGUCUAUCAAUGAACUUCCAGACGAUUGUUUGCUGCUCAUUUUUGAUUUAAUUAAUGAAUUGGAUGAUUUGUUAAACUGCUAUAAAGUAUGCAGCAAAUGGAGCCAUUUAAUUGCAGAGCGAACCAGAAAAGUUAAAUAUUUAAUUGAACAUCAAGAUUGGCGUAAUGAUGAAUUAUCUCUAAGUUAUCCGUUUGAUUGGAUUUAUUAUCGAACAGAGGAACCGAUCGAUGGAACUUGUCUCAGCACAUUAUUCCCAAAUUUAAUGAUUGCCGACUUUUCUGACAGAUUCCGCGUAAAAGUAAAGCAUGAAGAUAUCGUUAAAUUGGUCAAAAAGAUAAAACAUUUAAAAGGAUUAUUUCAUCCAAUCCAUAGCGAUGAAGGAUCAGUUUUUCAAUAUUGUGAUGAACUCGAAAUGGUUUCCAUCAAACAAAUUGAGCCGUGCAUAGAAAAGAUUGGUUUCAAUAUUAAACAGUUGUACCUUUACAACUAUAGAUUAGAUAAAUUCACAGAAAAUGCACAUUAUUUUCCAAAUCUCGAAAGACUAUACAUUUAAAAUGAAGGUGAUUUUUAAAUAUAUUUUGAAGAAACUUUUGAUAAUGAACAUUCACCUUGCAUCCUCAGCGAACCCUGAUGGACCCUACAAUGGUCCCAUAUUGACAAGACUUAAAAUACUUGCAUUGGUCUCAUCUUCUUGGAAUGGUUUCCAGUUCAUGGAUUCAUGUCCAAACUUACAAAGUGCUCAUAUUAAAUUUGACUUUAAUCGCCUUUUUGUUACUGAAUCACUAAAACACAAAUCCUUGCAAGAUUUAGUUUUAGAUUUUUAUCCCGAAGGUGUCGAAUGGAGUGAAUUGAAAAGAUUGUUCAUAAAAUAUCCAAAUCUUAAACAUCUUGCAAUUUACGGCUACUAUGACAUGGAAAAUGAACAUGUGGAGCAAUUGGUUCGCAUUUUACCCAAUUUAGUGUUAUUUGUUAUUCGUGAUUGUCCUGGAGUCACUCAAGAGGCCGCUAACUAUGUUCAAGGUUAUAAUAAACUACAUGGACGAUCAAUCAAGUUUUAUUUUGAUGAGAAUUUCCGUGAAAUUCAGUCAGAUUGGCCUCAGUUAUCGACUAAGGGUGAAAAAAUGAGCCUAGGUUUUGAUUUCAUGAAAAAUUGUUUUCUCAAAGGUUUUCUUUUUCUUUCUAACUUCUUAAUAACUAACGAAGACUAAAUAAUCAAACUAUCGAUGAUCUUCCAGGCAAUUGUUUGCUCAUCAUUUUUGGUCAAAUAAAUGAACAGAAUGAUUUAUAUAA